CUCAAAAAAAAAAAAAAAAAAAACCCAAAGAGUCUUGGCCCCGCCUCGCGGGAGCCAUGGCCACGCCCCACGCGCUCGGCCGCCGCUCGCCUGGAUCCCUCCGUCCGAGACUAUGUUGGCCUCUUCAUCACCUGCUGCAAUGCAACCCACGUUCAUAUCAUCUCAAUCAGGAUAUAGCAGAGCAAAUGCAGCACUGCCUCCUUUUCCAGGCUCAGAAGGUUCAGGAACAUGCAAUGUAUUUAUUGGAGUGCUAUCUGUGUUCUUCACAAACUUACCUUGCGAAUGCAUCGGGUUCGAUGUUUGGUUGGGAGUUUUGCUUCGGAGGGAGAGUACUAAAGGGUGCUGGAGCUUUGGCUGCCUUCACUUGGACGACCUUCCCUUUGUGUAUAACAUGCACUGUGCAAUAAUCAGGCGCCAUCUUCAUCAAGCAUGUUGGCACAUCAGGAUUUCUAAAUCUUCUGCAUGGUGUAAAGUCCAUGCCUGUGUUCAGUAUAGGUAUAUAUCAAAGGUAUGUAAUGGUGCAUGACCAUCAAGUAUGGAUGAGUAGGCACCUGAUGAAUGUGUUCCUAGAGGAUGCUCCAACUACGAUAUCUGUGAUGGCAUGACCAGUAGCAUAAUCAAUUAUUGCUUUGGAGAUAUCACUGCCAUCCAAAAUCACCUCAUUCAGAUGCAUCUGCGAUUUGCAGUGGCAGUAUAUAUACCUCUUAUAGAGCAUAAAGAGACCGAGAAAUGUACCAACCGGUCUGGGUACUUUGGUUGGCCCUGACAUGGACCAACUGGAGGGUGCUCCCCCUGGCCAUGAGCCGGUCCACCGCCCAUUUCGCCGCCUGCUGGCUAUUCUUGUCCCGGUCGACGGCCACGAUGGUCGAGCUGUCCUUCCCGGCCUCGGGCUCCCCACUAUGCGACACUGUCGAGAAUGCCGAGAGGUACAUUUCUCAGCUCUCCGACCGACCAACGAAACAACCGACGGGAGGGAGAGGGAGAGGGAGACAAAAGGGGAAUUUUGUCCCUCUUCCUCCCCCUUUGCUUAUUUCUCCUGCCCUACCCUGCCCUGCCUUGGCCGGGGUCUCCUCGUCCCUUGCUGUCGCGACCAAAGCCGGCCGAAGCCUGCAAUGUUUGUUUUAGGGAGCUUAUGUUGUUUUUGCCAAGUUUGGACGCAGUGUGGUUGUGAGGGUUUUCUUAAUUUUCUGUGGCUCCUGUUUCCCCGGCUCUUAAGUAAGGGGUGUAGGCGGGAGGACCACCUGUUCAAUGAUGCCCACCUUUUUCCUUGUUUCUAAAAAUAGCAGCAGGUGACAGACAGACAGGGAUGUCGCUAGGCGCUUGCUGAGUUUCCUUUCUGAA